CUAGUCUCAUCGGUGGAUCACUCGGCUCGUGGAUCGAUGAAGAACGCAGCUAAAUGCGAUAAUUGGCGUGAACUGCAGAAACACUGAACACAAAAGGUUUGAAUGCAAAUUGCGCCAAUGGAGUCAGAUCCAUUGGCACGUCUGGCUCAGGGUU
rnacentral:rRNA from 1 species